UCAUCAUUUCACAGCAAACGAGGAGGUGUAACUGGAGUGGCUGUUGAGUUGAAUGGAGUUCAACAGACCCAAAGUUCCAGGGCCUGGAGAUGGAGCGGGGGGAGAGGGUGGACGAGUGGUCCUGAGCCUGCUGGAUCAGAUCCAGCCUGGGAGGAGUGAAUGGGUGCUUGCAGAGCAUGGAGGGUUAGGAGGGCUGUCUGCAACAGACACCACUAACGCAGCCAAGACAGAGCCCAAAGACCCUCCAGGAGGACCUGGAAAGGUUGCCCUGUACUCAUUUGACAGCUCCCAGACAGUGAGGAUGAGGACAAAGCCAAGAAGGAAAAGAAAAAGGAGAAGCUAAAGAAGAGGGAAAAGAAGGAUCCCAGUUCAUCCUCCUCCUCCUCUGACAGCAGCUCUUCAGACAGUGAAGUAAGCUAGGCAAAUCUCUUAACAUGUGACCUAAUGUUCAUCAGCAUCACAUCAAGAUCCGGGCUUGAUUGAGCGUGUAUUAUGCAAUGGAACAAAUAGAAAAAUCACAGAAGUGUGAACCCUGCCCAUCUGGCAGUCCAGUCUAAAGCUGCCUGUUUGGAAUGAGUCACUGAACAAACAGAGAGAGAGUACGUUUUGGUUGGAUUGAGCCGUGCGUUUAGUCUUAGAAAAAUAUCUUGUUCAUGCGAAGCCAAAAGGAGACUUGAAUCCCCCAAUGAAACCAUUAAAGUGAAAGGAAGCCAAAUUGCUUUAUAGAGAGUGUUUUGACAAAGCUGGUAUCUAACCUGAAACCAAUCCAAUGUUGCUUUAAUCCUGGGAAUACUCUUGUCAAGCGUAUCCAAAUGAGGUUCCUUGCCAUGACACACAGCUUUAUAAAGUGGAUGUAAUAUCGUCUUACUACAUUGGGCUGGGCAGUUUUUAUUUGAUAAAAAUGUGACUAAUGAAAUUGUGUUAUUUAAUCUUACUCUUCACACUUUUAGAUGUCUAAUCAUUUAGAUUUGUCUUUCAUACAAGGAUAAAAAUGUGAAACACAUUUUUGGGAAAUUUGUCUUGGGAAAUGAGUGCACCUGUUUAUUUGAAUAUGAAAUCAGUUAAUUUGUUAAGAUUUGCUUUGAUUAUCGAUGGCAGGUACUUUGACGCCACAAUAGAAACUCAACCGCCAGCACUGUAUGCUGGUCUGGAACAACGGCACUAUGUUCUGUCGGCGUUAGUAAGCAGGAGAAACAGGUUUGCAUGCUUGAGAUAUGUGGGGUUGAAAGACUAGCUGAAAGACUAAAAGCCACAAUGAAACCCAUACGGUAGGCAUGCUGUGACCCUCGGGACCCAGAUCUAAGAUAGGCAUAGGACACCCAGUCAUAACCUGUGGAGCUGGUGCCCACAUGAUCAGGGAUCAGAGAGGUCCCUUACCGCUCUUGUACUUACUCUCUGGAAUAUGCACCGAUAUGAUCUGUCAAAACACUCAAACUAACAAUUAUGCAUGAAUAAUAAAACGAGCAUGGAUACCCCUGGGCUGGUUGGAGAACCCAUUCUUGUAGAUGCUGACUUGUCAUGCUUGUUUAUUUCUGUUGAAUGACCCUUUUUUUGUCACGGCAGGUCCUGGAAUAAAUCUGUGUUAACUACCCAAUAUGCCUUGAAAGGAAAGUACACCCAGUGAUCUAAAAGGAGAUGUAGCCAAUGUUCCUGCAGGCACUUUUGUCCAACCUGUCAGGGUAUUUUUUUGUUCUGAUAUGUUAACGUUAGGUGAAGGAGUCAAACUCGCUAGUGUAGUAACUUCUGUCUGCAGGAAGAGAAGAA